CCGUGCUAGACGGGGAGGUAGCGGUGCCCUGUAGCCCGCAAUCCGCUAUAGCGGGGUUGAAUUCCCUCUCGAGGGUCGCUCGUGUCGAAUGAACCGCGCGCGACGGCGUUGAUGGUUGGGCCCCACGCAACGGGAUGCGUCAAACCCCGCCAGACCCGGAAGGGAGCAACGGUAAGGCGCUCCUCCCGUGUGCCGUGGGAGUACCUGGCCGGAGCCGGUUUCGCGCGGCGCUCGCGGGACGGACGGCUCGAUUGAGGGUGCACGG
rnacentral:SRP_RNA from 1 species